CAGUAGCCGCGGUAAUACGAAGGGGGCUAGCGUUGCUCGGAAUGACUGGGCGUAAAGGGCGCGUAGGCGGAUGGCACAGUCAGAUGUGAAAUUCCCGGGCUUAACCUGGGGGCUGCAUUUGAUACGUGUCGUCUAGAGUGAGGAAGAGGGUCGUGGAAUUCCCAGUGUAGAGGUGAAAUUCGUAGAUAUUGGGAAGAACACCGGUGGCGAAGGCGGCGACCUGGUCCUUGACUGACGCUGAGGCGCGAAAGCGUGGGGAGCAAACAGGAUUAGAUACCCCUGUAGUCCCUGUCUCUUAUAA
rnacentral:rRNA from 1 species